ensembl:lncRNA
CUUCCCUCCCCCAAGCUGCCCUGUCGGCCCUCCUGCACCCCAGCCUCUGUCUGCACUGGCCCUGCCGGCUCUAGUGAAUGAGGCCCUGGGAAGCUGAGAACAGACCUCCCGCUGAAGGAGCCCUCCCCACAGAGGGCAGAGUGCAGAAAACAGCAGCCUUGAGAGCCCCAGGAGAGGCAGGAAUGAGGCCCUGGGAAGCUGAGAACAGACCUCCCGCUGAAGGAACCCUCCCCACAGAGGGCAGAGUGCAGAAAACAGCAGCCUUGAGAGCUCCAGGAGAGGCAGGGCCACCAGCUGCCUCCACCCAGAAAGGUCAGAUGUGGGAGAGUUCCAGAGUCAUUCCCCAACCCUGGAUGAGCUUCUGCAGCCUCAGUGCUACUCAGGUUCCAGCAAGACCUGGAGCAGAUGCAGGGGUAUAUGGCCCUGUGCUUGCUCCACAUCAGGCCCCAGGAGCUGCCAGCAGAUACCAGCCUGCCCUGCUACACAGUGAGCCUGCAGCCUGUCCAGGGAUCCCAGGGAGAUCCUCGCAGGCUGCCCCUGUCCCUCCAGCAGUGCAGGACAUGGCAGGUCACCCUGGAGGGAGGCAUGUUCUGGCCUGGGUGUCAGGUGUGGCACCUCAGAUCCUCCAUGCGUGCUGUGGGCUGAGCAGGACAGCAGACGACCCCGGCCCGCACCCUGUCUGUGGACAUUUGCUGCGGCAGCUGUGGGAGCUGACAGUGUUCACGGCCACGCCACAGUCAUCAUCGUAG